rnacentral:rRNA from 1 species
CUUAACACAUGCAAGUCGAACGAGGUCUCUUCGGAGACUUAGUGGCGAACGGGUGAGUAACACGUAGGUAACGUACCCUAUGCUGGGGGAUAGCCCAGGGAAACCUGGAUUAAUACCGCAUAUGUCCUUCGGGAUGAAAGCCUUCGGGCGGCAAAGGAUCGGCCUGCGGCCCAUUAUCUAAUCCUAGUUGGUAGUGUAACGGACUACCAAGGGUACGAUGGGUAGCUGGUCUGAGAGGAUGAUCAGCCACACUGGGACUGAGACACGGCCAGACUCC